AUAUGAAGGUGAGCAAAAUAGGGCCGUUGCCGUCGGGACCGACAAAAUCACCAAAUUUGCUCACAAGAAAGGGGCGAGAGCAAACAUACACUGAAAAAAUUCUACCGUUUAAUGCUGAGUUAAACAAACGACGUUCAGCGUGUAGAGUUUAUUUACAUUUCAUUUUGCGCAUUGGUCGAACCGUCCAACUGCCCACAGAACACCAUAGCCGUGGUGGAACCGGCAGAUUCGUUUGCUGUCGGUAUUUCUUUAACCGCAAAUCCGAACCAGAAUAGAGGUCCGCACCGACAACACAAUCAUUCUUCGCACCAACAGCAACAGCAGCCAUAGGGCCCCGAAAGGUACAACGGCAGCCUGUAGCUGGAAAAGAAUAGUUGUUCGUGAGCGAAAAUCGAAUCGCAGAAGAAUCUUUGUGGUGAUUUGGCACAUUGGCUAUUGGCCAGCGGCUAUAAAGGUUUUAACAUCAAGAGUCAAGAUGCUAUUUCCGGCAACGAAUCGGGUAUGGGCAGCUAAAAAUAGUGUGGAUCAAUGUUGGUCAACGUCUGCAUGUGGAUUAUUUCAAAUCUUAAAAGCAUUGUAACAAUUACUCUUGCGUCUAAUGAGGCCAGAAAUAUGAAAAUCAAUUUUUGGCUGAAAUUUAUUUGAAUAGAAUUUAAUCCAAUCAAAAUUCCAAUUGAGAGACUAUUCAAAGCUAUGCAAAUUGCAGCGUUCCACAAGUUUCUCGGAAAUUAGAUUUUCUGCCCUCAAUAAAACGUUAACAACCGUUCAACGACUACCAUGCACCAUCUCGUCGCAUCCCACUGUUUCAUCAACCAUGCUGCUGGAGCUUCCAUUGGUGUAGAUCAUCAAACUUUUUUUGUUUGUCCAGAGUUUGCAUUUGGAAUCCAACGUAAGACCGCAAGCCAAAUUUGUCGCAAGCAAGAUGGAAACAAGGCUAAAGCAGGCAUUCAGACUUAUUUCCGAAAUUUAUCCAAUAUUCAGACGAUAAAAAAGAAAUUGAAUGGUGCAGGCUGACUUGAAAAGAUGUUUACAAUAUCUAAAAAAGUAAUUUUAGAUUAUUCAUGGGAGUCGAUUUGGGAACGAUGACAAGAUGCACGAAGAAGCGAUUGGAAUGAAUCCGAAAAUUCUCAAAUCAUAACCAAAAAUUUCCAGACUACCCAACGAGAAUGUACCGCGACUUUAAAAUGGGGCUGUUGCUUUUGGUAUUGAUUAACAAGAAAACAUCGAAUUUGAAGUUGGAUAUUUUUUGCAUCGUCUAUUUCCGUACCUCCGUUUAAUAUUUUUGAUCUAACAACUUGAUUAUGAAUUUUAUAAAAUAAUGCAUGUCGAUAACUACCUUUGGCUGGUGCUAUGGAAUGGAAACUUCCGGAAAAUCAAAAUUGUAUUUUAUUUUUGUUAUUAUUUGCUUCAAUUACGAAAAACACAGCAAGUGUAAUACAGAUAUUUAUAAGGAUAAUUUAUUGUGAAUAAAAAAUGAGAAUUUAUGGCAAGCGA